rnacentral:rRNA from 1 species
UAGCAUAUCAAUAAGCGGAGGAAAAGAAACCAACAGGGAUUGCCUCAGUAACGGCGAGUGAAGCGGCAAGAGCUCAAAUUUGAAAGCUGGCCCCCUCGGGGUCCGCAUUGUAAUUUGCAGAGGAUGCUUCGGGAGUGGCCCCCAUCUAAGUGCCCUGGAACGGGCCGUCAUAGAGGGUGAGAAUCCCGUCUGGGAUGGGGUGCCCACGCCCGUGUGAAGCUCCUUCGACGAGUCGAGUUGUUUGGGAAUGCAGCUCUAAAUGGGUGGUAAAUUUCAUCUAAAGCUAAAUACUGGCCGGAGACCGAUAGCGCACAAGUAGAGUGAUCGAAAGAUGAAAAGCACUUUGAAAAGAGAGUUAAACAGCACGUGAAAUUGUUGAAAGGGAAGCGCUUGCGACCAGACUCGCCCACGGGGUUCAGCCGGCAUUCGUGCCGGUGUACUUCCCCGCGGGCGGGCCAGCGUCGGUUUGGGCGGCCGGUCAAAGGCCCUUGGAAUGUACCGCCCCCCGGGGCGGCUUAUAGCCAAGGGUGCCAUGCGGCCAGCCCGGACCGAGGAACGCGCUUCGGCUCGGACGCUGGCAUAAUGGUCGUAAGCGACCCGUCUUGAAACACGGACCAAGGAGUCUAACAUCUACGCGAGUGUUCGGGUGUCAAACCCGUGCGCGCAGUGAAAGCGAACGGAGGUGGGAACCCCUCGGGGCGCACCAUCGACCGAUCCUGAUGUCUUCGGAUGGAUUUGAGUAAGAGCGUAGCUGUUGGGACCCGAAAGAUGGUGAACUAUGCCUGAAUAGGGCGAAGCCAGAGGAAACUCUGGUGGAGGCUCGCAGCGGUUCUGACGUGCAAAUCGAUCGUCAAAUUUGGGUAUAGGGGCGAAAGACUAAUCGAACCAUCUAGUAGCUGGUUCCUGCCGAA